rnacentral:rRNA from 1 species
GUGAACGCUGGCGGUAGGCCUAACACAUGCAAGUCGCACGGCAGCACAGUAAGAGCUUGCUCUUACGGGUGGCGAGUGGCGGACGGGUGAGGAAUACAUCGGAAUCUACUUUUUCGUUGGGGAUAACGUAGGGAAACUUACGCUAAUACCGCAUACGACCUACGGGUGAAAGCAGGGGAUCUUCGGACCUUGCGCGAUUGAAUGAGCCGAUGUCGGAUUAGCUAGUUGGCGGGGUAAAGGCCCACCAAGGCGACGAUCCGUAGCUGGUCUGAGAGGAUGAACAGCAACACUGGAACAGAGGCACGGACGAGACUGCGACGGGAGGCAGCAGUGGAGAAUAAUGGAGGAUGCGCGCAAGACUGAACCAGCAAUACCGAGGAGAUGAAGGAGGCCUUCGGCUUGGAAAGCCCAUUGGAUGAAAAAGAAAAGCAGCAGGUUAAUACCCCGCUGGGCGGACGGUACCCAAAGAAUAAAAACCGGCUAGCUUCGUG